CUCCGCUGCUACAGGCCAUGUCACCAUUGGUAGCCCUGCAGCCACUCCUUCCAGAAGCGAGUUCCAGCCGCAAUGGGUCACAAACCCACAAGUUGCUUGAUGAUCAAGUAUGAGCACCUGUGGUGCCCAUCCUCUUAUAAUCAUCCCUUUUCCUUUCACCCUCUCUUCGAACCCUUCUGCGAUCUCGAAUAGCUGCUCGUUC